rnacentral:lncRNA from 1 species
AGGACGUCUACUUGAAGUAGUAUGGGAGGUCGAGCACGUAGAGGAGGAAGUAGGCCCAGACCACGCCGGAGAUGCCGCCGAAGAAGAAGCCUCCGGUGAACUUGGCCCAGCCGUCGGCGGUCUGCAGCUUGUCGGCCUCCUUCUUGCGGCCGGUGAGCGUGAGCGUGGGCGCCGUGGACGGGUCGCCCUCGUUGAAGGAGGCGACGCCGUACAUGGUGAGGCAGACGCUGAGGAUGGUGACGAGCCCGGCGGCGCCCAGGGCGCCCGCCUGGCCGUGCACGGGCGUGUUGCGGAGCGGGCCGGUGAGGGCGAAGGGGCCCACGAGGAGGUAGCCGUGCGCAAGCCCGACCUCGAUGCCGCGGAGCAGCGGGCUCACGGCGGUGCG